GACGGCCAGGAGGUGGCCGACGAGUUCAAGGGCGUCACCGUGUGGUGGUCCGCGGUGCCGCCGUCCCCGGCCGACGCCAGGAGGUGCUGCCGCCUCACGUUCCACGAGUCCCACCGGAGGCUCGUCGUCGACGAGUACCUGCCCCACGUCCGCCGCACCGGACAGGAGCUCGUCUCCAGCAACCGGCCACGCAGGCUCUACUCCAUCAAGAAGGAGCUCAACUACCAUUCUAGGAGGGACGAGGUAUGGAGCUACACAGACUUCGACCACCCAGCCACGUUCGAGACCUUGGCCAUGAACACAGCGAAGAAGCAGAUGAUCAUGGACGACCUGGACGACUUCCGCGACAGCAGGGACUACUACCGCCGCGUCGGCAAGGCGUGGAAGCGCGGCUACCUCCUCUACGGGCCGCCGGGCACGGGCAAGUCUUCCAUGGUCGCCGCCAUGGCCAACCACCUCAACUACGACGUCUACGACGUCGAGCUCGCCUCCCUGCACACCAACAGCGACCUCCGCAAGCUCUUCGCCGAGACCACGCGCAGGUCCAUCAUCGUCAUCGAGGACAUCGACUGCUCCCUCGACCACGCCGCCACGGAGCCGCAAAGGGACGACGGGAUGGUGACGCUGUCGGGCCUGCUCAGCUUCAUCGACGGGCUGUGGUCGGCGCACGGCGGGGAGCGGAUCAUCGUGGUCACCACCAACCGGCCACGCGCGCUCGACCCGGCGCUGGCCCAGCGGGGGAGGAUGGACGUGCACAUCGAGAUGAGCUACUGCGAGUUCGGGGCGUUCAUGACGCUCGCCAAGAACUACCUCGGCGUGGACGCGCACCCUCUCUUCUACGCCGUGGAGGAGCUGCUGCGGGUGGCGGACAUGACGCCCGCCGACGUCGCCGAGUGCCUGAUGGCGCGCUCCGAGUGCGCCGCCCGCCGCGAUGCGGAUGCAUGCCUCGCGCGCUUGGUGGACGAGCUCAAGAAGAAGGCCGUCGUGGGGAAGACGGCGGUCGAG
rnacentral:rRNA from 1 species